rnacentral:rRNA from 1 species
UCGAACGGAUCCUUCGGGAUUAGUGGCGGACGGGUGAGUAACACGUGGGAACGUGCCCUUUGGUUCGGAACAACUCAGGGAAACUUGAGCUAAUACCGGAUGUGCCCUUCGGGGGAAAGAUUAUCGCCAUUGGAGCGGCCCGCGUCUGAUUAGCUAGUUGGUGGGGUAAAGGCCCACCAAGGCGACGACCAGUAGCUGGUCUGAGAGGAUGAUCAGCCACAUUGGGACUGAGACACGGCCCAA